rnacentral:tRNA from 1 species
GCCUCGUUAGCGUAGUGGUGAGUGUCCCCGCCUAUUACGGGGGAGUUUGGGGUUCGAUUCCCCGACGGGGAG